CAGAGGCGAUCCCAGCUGCAGCGCGGCUAUGAGAAUUUCACCUACACACACCAUCCAUGUAAUGAGAAAAUAAAGGAACUACUUGAAACAGAAGAUGUCUCUGUUCCUCCAAUUAACUUCCAAGGGAAAUCCCAGCUUUACUCUGGAACCAAACAAGGAUGGAACAGAAAGCACAGAGGUAUAAAACUUUUGUCUUGCAGCUCUCCAUGGGAAAUACCAGAACCUGAACACGUUCCAGCACUUACAACUUCCAGUUUAUCUUUCUGACUAGAGCAUUUAAAUAAUGAACCCUGUUGCUGAACACAACAAACAAAACUAGUUUUCUUGUUUUAGAACCAACUUUCUUCCCCUUGCAAUAUGCUUGAUAUUUUUAGGCAUGGAAAUAUGUGUAUUUCUGGAGGUUUUAAGUUAUGCUAGAAGUAAGGUCACAUGAAAGU